UGGGGAAUAUUGCACAAUGGGCGAAAGCCUGAUGCAGCAACGCCGCGUGAGGGAAGACGGUUUUCGGAUUGUAAACCUCUGUUUUCGGUGACGAACAAAUGACGGUAACCGAGUAGGAAGCCACGGCUAACUACGUGCCAGCAGCCGCGGUAAUACGUAGGUGGCAAGCGUUAUCCGGAUUUACUGGGUGUAAAGGGCGCGUAGGCGGGAUGGCAAGUCAGAUGUGAAAUCCAUGGGCUCAACCCGUGAACUGCAUUUGAAACUGUCGUUCUUGAGUGUCGGAGAGGCAAGCGGAAUUCCUAGUGUAGCGGUGAAAUGCGUAGAUAUUAGGAGGAACACCAGUGGCGAAGGCGGCUUGCUGGACGAUAACUGACGCUGAGGCGCGAAAGCGUGGGGAGCAAACAGGAUUAGAUACCCUGGUAGU
rnacentral:rRNA from 1 species